UACGUAGGUCCCGAGCGUUGUCCGGAUUUAUUGGGCGUAAAGCGAGCGCAGGUGGUUUAUUAAGUCUGGUGUAAAAGGCAGUGGCUCAACCAUUGUAUGCAUUGGAAACUGGUAGACUUGAGUGCAGGAAAGGAGAGUGGAAUUCCAUGUGUAGCGGUGAAAUGCGUAGAUAUAUGGAGGAACACCGGUGGCGAAAGCGGCUCUCUGGCCUGUAACUGACACUGAGGCUCGAAAGCGUGGGGAGCAAACAGG
rnacentral:rRNA from 1 species